GGGGGAGUGUCGGAAUUGGCAGACGAGCGUGACUUAGGAUCACGUGGGUAAUACCCGUACGGGUUCAAAUCCCGUCUUCCCCA
rnacentral:tRNA from 1 species